rnacentral:misc_RNA from 1 species
GAUGAAGAACGUAGCGAAACGCGAAAGGUAAUGCGAAUUGCAGAAUCAGUGAAUCAUCGAGUCUUUGAACGCACAUUGCGCCCCCUGGUAUUCCGGGGGGCAUGCCUGUCCGAGCGUCAUUGCUGCCCUCAAGCACGGCUUGUGUGUUGGGCCUCCGUCCUCCUCCCGGGGGACGGGCCCGAAAGGCAGCGGCGGCACCGCGUCCGGUCCUCGAGCGUAUGGGGCUUCGUCACCCGCUCUUGUAGGCCCGGCCGGCGCUUGCCGACACAUCAAUCUUUUUUCCAGGUUGACCUCGGAUCAGGUAGGGAUACCCGCUGAACUUAAGCAUAUCAAUAAGCGGAGGA